GUAGGUGACCUGCGGAAGGAUCAUUGUCGAAACCUGCCCAGCAGAACGACCCGCGAACCUGUCAUCACAUCGGGGGCCUGCGGGCUUCGUGCCCGUGUGCCUCCACCCGUGCUUCGUCGGGUGUCGGUCGCACGCUUGUGCCUGGGGCUGGCCCGUCCUUGCGCAUUAACGAACCCCGGCGCGAAUUGCGCCCAGGAAAUCUUAACGAGAGAGCUCGCUCCCGUCCCCCCGGACACGGUGCGUGCGCGGGAUGCGUGGCCUUCUUUCAUUAUCAAUAACGACUCUCGGCAACGGAUAUCUCGGCUCUCGCAUCCAUGAAGAACGUAGCGAAAUGCGAUACUUGGUGUGAAUUGCAGAAUCCCGUGGACCAUCGAGUCUUUGAACGCAAGUUGCGCCCCAAGCCUUUAGGGCGAGGGCCGUCUGCCUGGGUGUACGCAUCGUUGCCCCCCGCCCAGAUCCUACGAUCCUGCGGCGGUGGGCGGAAAAUGGCCUCCCGUGUGCUUGCGCCCGCGGUUGGCCCAAAUCCGAGUUCUCGGUGACGCUUCCCGCGAACAUCGGUGGCGUUUGAAAAUAACCUAAUGAUCCUGGCGUGCGGUUGCGUUCUCCUGGCUACCGACUCUUUGACCCUCGAGAACAAGCGAAAGCGCGCUCGCAUUGCGACCCCAGGUCAGGCGGGAUUACC
rnacentral:rRNA from 1 species